UGGGGAAUAUUGCACAAUGGAGGGAACUCUGAUGCAGCGACGCCGCGUGAGUGAUGAAGGAAUUCGUUUCGUAAAACUCUGUUCUAUGGGAAGAAAAGGACUGUACCAUAGGAGAAAGCUCCGGCUAAAUACGUGCCAGCAGCCGCGGUAAUACGUAUGGAGCGAGCGUUGUCCGGAAUUAUUGGGCGUAAAGGGUGCGCAGGCGGCUUUACAAGUUGGAUGUGAAAUAUUGUGGCUCAGCCACAAACGUGCAUCCAAAACUGCAAAGCUUGAGUUAAGGAGAGGUAAGUCGAAUUUCUGGUGUAGCGGUGGAAUGCGUAGAUAUCAGGAGGAAUACCGGUGGCGAAGGCGACUUACUGGACUUAAACUGACGCUCAGGCACGAAAGCGUGGGGAGCAAACAGG
rnacentral:rRNA from 1 species